rnacentral:rRNA from 1 species
AGAGUUUGAUCAUGGCUCAGGACGAACGCUGGCGGUGUGCCUCACACAUGCAAGUCGAACGGGGUAGCAAUACCCAGUGGCGGACGGGUGAGUAACACGUGGGAAUCUGCCUCAUAGAGGGGAAUAGCAGGCCGAAAGGCCUAUUAAUUCCGCAUACGUCGCAAGAUAAAAGGAGCAAUCCGCUAUGAGAUGAGCCCGCGCCCGAUUAGCUAGUUGGUAAGGUAAAGGCUUACCAAGGCUACGAUCGGUAGCUGGUCUGAGAGGAUGAUCAGCCACAAUGGAACUGAGACACGGUCCAUACUCCUACGGGAGGCAGCAGUGGGGAAUUUUACACAAUGGGCGAAAGCCUGAUGUAGCGACACCGCGUGAGCGAAGAAGCCUUUUGGGGUGUAAAGCUCUGUCAGCAGGGACGAAAAAAAUGACGGUACCUGCAGAGGAAGCAUCGGCUAACUACGUGCCAGCAGCCGCGGUAAGACGUAGGAUGCAAGCGUUGUCCGGAUUUAUCGGGCGUAAAGAGUUCGUAGGUGGUUUGUUAAGUCUGAUGUUAAAGACUGGGGCUCAACCUCGGGACUGCAUUGGAUACUGGCAGACUUGAGUGCGGUAGAGGCAGGUGGAAUUCCAGGUGUAGCGGUGAAAUGCGUAGAUAUCUGGAAGAACACCGGUGGGCAAGCGACUUGCUGGGCCGUAACUGACACUGAGGAACGAAAGCUAGGGGAGCGAAUGGGAUUAGAUACCCCAGUAGUCC